rnacentral:rRNA from 1 species
GGAUCAAUUUAUUGGUCGUGCUAUUGUACGUACUGGUAUUAUUGAUUCCUACCUUCUGACGAACCAUGAUGUCAUUAAUUUGGUGUCAUGGGGAAUCAGGACUGUUACUUUGAAAAAAUUAGAGUGUUCAAAGCAGGCUAUCGCUUGAAUAUUUCAGCAUGGAAUAAUGGAAUAGGACGU